GAUUGGUGUUUAUGUUGUCUUGAACCUGAUGGGAACAAUCUAAACAGCAGGGUUUGGGAUCAAUGCCACUUCAAUUCAGUCCAUUCAGGAAGUAAAGGAGUCGACCCUGACCACCUGACCAGGGACAGCUGUAUGAGAAGUGAUGAGAACAAUCUGAACAGCAGGGUUUGGGAUCAAUGCCACUUCAAUUCAGUCCAUUCAGGAAGUAAAGGAGUCGACCCUGACCACCUGACCAGGGACAGCUGUAUGAGAAGUGAUGAGAACAAUCUAAACAGCAGGGUUUGGGAUCAAUGCCACUUCAAUUCAGUCCAUUCAGGAAGUAAAGGAGUCGACCCUGACCACCUGACCAGGGACAGCUGUUUGAGAAGUCGAGGUCCUCGUGCUACAAAUGGGAAAUUAAAAACCUUAAGCAUUUUUAAAUAUAUAUUAAAUCAGGUUCUGUUGCAUUUAAAUGACUGUGAAUUUAAACCUUUAGUUCUUUGCAAAGCAUACCCUGAUUUCCGUAACAUAUUGAAUCUCCGUUAUGCUAAUACGAGAUGGAACAUUGUUUGCAGAAAAUCUAUUGAACAAUAAUUUUCCCCGUUGGUGUCUGUUGACUGUCGUUGGUGUCUGUUGACUGUCGUUGGUGUCUGUUGACUGUCGUUGGUGUCUGUUGACUGUCGUUGGUGUCUGUUGACUGUCGUUGGUGUCUGUUGACUGUCGUUGGUGUCUGUUGACUGUCGUUGUUUUGCUCGUUGGUGGUUUCUACCCGCCUCCCCCUCAUCUUUCAGAUGGGACGUUAAACGUGUGUCCUGACUCUCUGAGGUCAUUAAAGAUCCCAUGGCACUUAUCGUCAGAGUUAGGGGUGUUAACCCCGGUGUCCUGACUCUCUGAGGUCAUUAAAGAUCCCAUGGCACUUAUCGUCAGAGUUAGGGGUGUUAACCCCGGUGUCCUGACUCUCUGAGGUCAUUAAAGAUCCCAUGGCACUUAUCGUCAGAGUUAGGGGUGUUAACCCCGGUGUCCUGACUCUCUGAGGUCAUUAAAGAUCCCAUGGCACUUAUCGUCAGAGUUAGGGGUGUUAACCCCGGUGUCCUGACUCUCUGAGGUCAUUAAAGAUCCCAUGGCACUUAUCGUCAGAGUUAGGGGUGUUAACCCCGGUGUCCUGACUCUCUGAGGUCAUUAAAGAUCCCAUGGCACUUAUCGUCAGAGUUAGGGAUGUUAACCCCGGUGUCCUGGCUAAAUUCCCAAUCUGACCCUCAAACCAUCAUUGUCACCUAAUAAUCCCCAGUUUACAAUUGGCUCAUUAAUCCCCCUCCUCUCCCCUGUAACUAUUCCCCAGGUCGUUGCUGCAAAUGAGAACUUGUUCUCAGUCAACUUACCUGAUAAAAUAACGGAUAUAUAAAAAAUAAAUAAAAAAAUCUGAAGCCUGUAUUCAUAGAGUGCAUCCCAAAUGGCACCCUAGUCAACACAGUGCACUACUAUGGGCCCUACAAUACAGUGCACUACUAUGGGCCCUGGCCAAAAGUACUACACUAUAUUAGGAAUAGGAUGACAUUUGGGACAGAGACAAUGUAUCACUAAGAGAUCUCCGUGCUUCUACACCUGCAUUGCUGUUUGAGGGGUUUUAGGCUGGGAUUCUGUACAGCACAUUGUGACAUCAUCUGAUGUAAGAAGGGCUUUAUGAAUACAUUUGAUUUGAUUUGAUUCUAAAACGGUGAACUGUUCUCCCAUCCCAUCUAGCAGAUGCUUUCUGCAUAUAAUGUUAUCAUUCCAAGUGGCGCCCUAUUAGGUUGCUGUUUGGGACGUAAACAUUAUCCUGGUCAUUGUACGUUGUGUAUAAACCUUUAGUUGUAAUGGUGUCAGUACUUUAUUUCAAUGGACAGACAUAAUUGUUUGUUUUUCUAGAUAUUUAAAUUCAAAGCAUAUCUUGAUAUUUUUUAGAGUUGCCAAAUGUUAUGUGUAAGAUGAUGAUUAUUCUAAUAGUUUAUUAAUCAUUUUGUGUUUUGCUAUAUGGUUAAAAGCAGAUGGUCACAUUAUUACUAAAACCUUGUUUUCUAAUGAUUUAGUAGCAGAGUUGGGAUCAAUUCCAUUUCGAUUCCAGUCAUUUCAGAAAGUUAAACCAAAUUCCAAUUCCAAAUUGGAACGGAAGACGAUUGGAAUUGGAAUUACAGUUUACUUCCUGAAUUGACUGGAAUUGAAAUGGAACUGAUCCCAACCCUGUUUAGUAGUUAGUUAGUACUGAGAGUUGACCUCUGUGUUUUCACUGUUAAGUUCAGCAGUUCUACUGGCUAUAUCUGUUUCUAGAACUUUUUUUAAAUUCUGUGUAAUUAAUGAAUGCUUCAGCGCAUAUUAAAUGUCAAAUACUAUUUGAA